AGGAGGCUCUUGGGUCGUAAACCUCUUUUCUCAGGGAAGAACAAAAUGACGGUACCUGAGGAAUAAGCAUCGGCUAACUCCGUGCCAGCAGCCGCGGUAAUACGGAGGAUGCAAGCGUUAUCCGGAAUGAUUGGGCGUAAAGCGUCCGCAGGUGGCGAUGUAAGUCUGCUGUUAAAGAGUCUAGCUCAACUAGAUAAGAGCAGUGGAAACUACAUAGCUAGAGUACGUUCGGGGCAGAGGGAAUUCCUGGUGUAGCGGUGAAAUGCGUAGAGAUCAGGAAGAACACCAGUGGCGAAGGCGCUCUGCUAGGCCGUAACUGACACUGAGGGACGAAAGCUAGGGGAGCGAAUGGGAUUAGAUA
rnacentral:rRNA from 1 species